CCUACGGGUGGCAGCAGUAGGGAAUCUUUCACAAUGGGCGAAAGCCUGAUGGAGCAACGCCGCGUGCAGGAUGAAGGCCUUCGGGUUGUAAACUGCUUUUAUAAGCGAGAAAUAUGAUGGUAACUUAUGAAUAAGGAUCGGCUAACUACGUGCCAGCAGCCGCGGUCAUACGUAGGAUCCGAGCAUUAUCCGGAGUGACUGGGUGUAAAGAGUUGCGUAGGUGGCAUAAUAAGUAGCUAGUGAAAUCUGGUGGCUCAACCAUUCAGACUAUUAGCUAAACUGUUAAGCUCGAGACCGUUAGGGGUAACUGGAAUUUCUAGUGUAGCGGUGAAAUGCGUAGAUAUUAGGAGGAACACCAGUGGCGAAGGCGGCCUGCUGGGCUUUUACUGACGCUGAGGCUCGAAAGUGUGGGGAGCAAACAGGAUUAGAUACCCUUGUAGUC
rnacentral:rRNA from 1 species